AUACUUUUUUGUAUUGUAUGAAAUUUUCAAUAAAGAGAAAAUAUCUGGAAAAAAAAAAAUCUGUUCUUAUCAGUUUAAUAUCUGAUACGUCCCCCAGCGGGGGACUACAUAUUAAGCGGAUUUUUAGAACAGGGAGUCGGCAAAGGAGCUUGCUCCAUCCGCUCCACGCAUCGACCCAGUAUUGCAGUGCCUCUGGGAGCGGUGCACUUUCU
ensembl:snRNA U2 U2 spliceosomal RNA